UUUGCUAAAUUUAGAUUGUAUUAAAAGAGAAAAGAUUACAACCUCAUGGGAGAACCUCAAUUAAGAUAUAGCAUAGACAUCAUAGGACAAGCCCCGUGAUGUCAUGACUAUAAAAGAUUACAAGGCCUCAAGCCCAACAAGAAGUUACAAUACUGUAAUGAGAAUUGAAACAUAAAAAAACAGACUAGCAGCAUCAAAGCACGGAAUAAAGCGAUCCCAUAAGCAAGUGAAAACCAAAAAUAGCCAUAACAAACCAGCCAAAAAAAUCUCGCACCAAAGCAGCACCAAAACAGAGGACAUGCAGUCCACCACCCCAUGCGCAGCAACAAAAAGGAGAAUGCCCACACCAGCCCCCCCAACCCAGCCCACGACCCAUAACUGAAAUCAGCAUAACAACAGACUGCAUGUCCCUGAGCAUAACAACAGAAGUAACGCUACAGCAAACCCCGAGCAGCCACCCCACACAGCAACAUGACCAAUGGCCAGCCUCAUACUGACUGCAUAACAGCAACCCAGACCAGCAAUGUUACAGCAGCGUGGUGCCUAUGCAAUCAGCAGUAACAAACCCACCAUAUUGAAUUAUUGAAGUAUAUAGCAUUAAAGCUUCCCCAAUGCAGAAUACCCACCAUAUAACAGCAACAAGGCAGUAGCAAUUAUUAUCCUAACUGCCUAACAACCUACCAAGUAAGCCUCCAAGCCUGACAAAGGCAGUAACCAGUAGCCCAAUGCCAGCCACCCCAGGAGCAAGAGAAACAGCAGUCGCCAACAUCUAAAAUAUCAUUUAACUGCUAUCAAAAUCAAUAGUCUAUUACCAGGCUCACUAAAACUUCAAAACAUGCUAUUAAAGGGAUAGAACAAUUAGCAUACUAUUAUCAGUUGUAAAUGAUAUAAAGCUUCUAUUUUUCUUUUUCAGUCCCCACAUUAUUGAAUUUCUGGACUUCUGUACUUAAUUUUAAACAAUCCUCUGUCCAAAAUCAAGAUUUGGUUUGUUCAAAGAGUGAUGAAUCCUUAAACCAACUAUCGAAUGAACUUAACCAAAUUAUAUUGUCCAUUUAAGGUAUUUAAUCAAGUAGCAGCAAGGUUUUGCAUAAUUUGCACCACAAGCCAUCCCAAUCACUUUCAAUAUUUAGAGUGUGACUUGUUUUUAUAUACACGGUUAUAUUGUAUAUUAGUGUCUACAAAAUGUGUAAGGAGUUCCUAAGGUAAUUGAAUCUUUUCAGUUUUCGUUAUCAUAGAAGUUAUCUUUUCUUUUACAAUGCAAAUUUCAAAAACUUUACACUAUUAUUAAUGCUCCAGCCCAAGAUAUGUGCCAACCCAAAACCCAGGCACCAGCAAAAAGCCAGCAGGGAAGCAGCCACACAAAAUUAACCCGACACCAACCCAACAUGAGCUAAAAAGUAACGAGCAUAAGCAGCAAGGUCAACAACAAAAAAGCAGCAAAACCAGCCCCUCCUCUGGUAUUCAAUGCAAGGACUGUCAUGUGAUGCAGAGGGGGAGAAUGAACAACCUAUUCACCAAAUUAACAGAUUUGAAGGAGGAUGGGAAAGAAAAAGAGGGGGGAACUUGACAUACUUAUUCAUCCAUAUGAAUUCUUUUCUAUGAAUACUUUCAGAAGAUUAUCAGCUGACCCACGUAUAAAUAUUUAUCAAAGUAAGAACUAAGAACCAUUAUGCUUAACCAUUGAUAACAUAAGUGAAAAAUGAAGUUGCAUUCCCCUUGAGAGGCAAAAGAGUUCCACCGUCACAAACCCAAAUAAAAUUAAACUAUGUACACCCUCCCUUAAGUGACCUUAAUGGCCUAAUCCAUUGGCACAUAUUUUGAAAAGAGGGCAAGUCAACUAUGGCUAUAUAGUUCCUUGUCUUUAAGCAAGACUUAAUGCUCCCACUAAAACCAAACUAAAUUACUAAAGUAUGAAAUACUACCUUUUAACAGCUACCCGUCAUGUAGAACUUUAAUCAAGGACAAAAACGUAACAAGGACAAUUGGUUGUUCAAACAAAUAACUUAAACAAAAGUUUUCUAUUUAUUUCAUUUAUACUGUUGAAAUCAUACUUUUGUUUGUGCUAAAUACAAAAGAUAUCACGAUGCAAAAUCAAGAACCCCCACAGAGUACAACAGAAACUUCAAUAAACAAGACAAACACAAAAUAAAAAUGAGAAUGAUAUUAAAUGCAUUGUGGUAUGAAUAUGAUACAAGACCAUUAGAACAGAAAGUAUGGGCUUACAAAUAUAAUACAAGUGUACAAGACAAAAUACCAAUGGAGACAUAGAGCUAAUUUCCCUUCUUUCAGCUUCACAUAAUCAAUAAUUCUUAUUUUUAGCUAAGCAAGAAACAAAGAUUCUAGAAUACUAUGUAACCAAAUUCUGAGCUCAGAUAUUCUGAUUUGUAUUGUUUCUGGAAAAAACAUAUUUCAACGGAUCAAAAUGGACUAGGUACAAUUUUUAGUUAUGCAAACCACGCUGAUUGAUUAAUUAUUUCAUUAGGUAGCAUAUUCUACUGACUCAAAGUUUAAGCUUCUGAUUAAUUACUCUUCAACUAAAUUUUCUUGCAUGUGUAAAAUUGGAAUUUAUAAACAAACUAAUAAAAACACAUUUCUAUGAUUUCGUAAGCCAAACAGAACUUGGUGGUGUACCAAAUUCAAAGAAAAUAAUAUGCAGGUCAUAUUACAACAACAACGAGGGAACCUGUUAUUUCAACUUGACUGAAUAACCCAAAAAAUAGAGACAAAAAUUUACAGAUAGAGACAUACUUUCUAUAUUAUAAAAAAGCAAACUCCAGCAAAAUUCAUCUGGGCAUACAUAAACACACUUUUUAUAUUAUAAAAAAUCAUCAUUUACAAACAGCAACCCAUGAUUUGAAAAAAUUAGCAAAAAAGAAUCCAGAUGGAAGACAAUCCUGGUAUAUAUAAUAAAAAUAUGUAAGUAGAUAAAUAAAGGAAGGUGUAAUGAAUAGGAGAAACUCACCCGGCCACAUAGGGCUAAUUUCAGAAAACCAGUAAAUGAAAUGAAAUAUAAACAAGUAAAUAUAAUGUGGGAAUUUACGGUGAUCAAUUCAUGUUGAAGAAAUAAGUAAAUAUAUUUACAAAGACAAUCAAUCAAAUGAAAUAUAAAUCAAAAUGAUGACCAGUAAUAAGUCAACAUGAAAACCAGUGAUAUGCCACUCAUCUAGCCCAAGAGCCCUUGUCAGAAAGAGCUACACCUCCUGCUUGUGUGACUCCCUCAUAAAUCUCUACUAGGAUAUUCAAAAGAAGAUUCCUUAGCCUACCAAAGCUUAGAGUGGUAAUAAGAAGCAUAUCCUGCCGCAAAAUUCUUGCAAUAAAUUCCUUAUUAACCAUGCAAAAAAUUAUAUAUUUCCACUGAAUAACAAUGAUAUAUUUGAAAGAACUCUUACUAAAAUCAAAUGGUACAGUUUUUUCAACAUUUGAAGUUUAUAAUUUUUUAUAAAUAUUAAAGGAUCAUAAACGUAUUAAUGAUACUAUUUUUUUUCUAGUAUUUCAAUUGAGUUGUUUUGAAACUUGAGAUUUUUUAAUAGUUGAAGUAGAACUAAGAUUUAAACCAUAGACGAAAGACAUGUACUAGGAUUUAGAUAAGCCCUUCACAGUCACUUUGCAGAAAAUAACUUGAGUAUUCAACAUUAUAAGGGAUACAUCAAAUUCAUUUCUAUCCCAACAAACAAUAAUUCUGGCACUUUCAUUUACAGGAGCAUUAUGAUCCCAACCCACACCAAAUUUCUUAAUAAUUAAUUUAAUUUUUUUUAACUUUUACUUGAGAGAUUUUUGUUUCUACCGAACAUAAUAAAGAAACUCUAUUUACAGCUAUAAAAUCAAUAACAUCUCUAUAUUUACGGGAUUUAUUAAAACCGAUAACAAUCCAAGCAAACAGUUUAAUUAUUGAGAAUGAGGUAAACAAUUAUUACCCCCACUAUCAGCAACAAUCCCAGUUUCUACAGUAGCCAAUCCUUUUAGUUCCCUUUUUAGUAUUUUUUUUUACAGAUGUUAACGCCAAUCACGUAAGACGUCCUGAUCCUGCACAAUAAACACGAUCAACACCAAAAGCUUGACGGCUUCGAUCGUCGGGUGAUAGCUCAGGCGUGAGAGUCAGUACAGGCGAUCACAAGGUUAACAAUGGAGAAUAAUAAAAUCUAGUGUAUUGAGAGAGAUAAAAUUAUCAGUUACCUUUACUUGGAUGACUUCCUUGCUAUGAUAUACUCACAAGCCCAGUUUAUCGUGCCACCCACUACCGUCAGACACAGUUUCCCACCGCAGGUGACAUCUGCCGACUGCAUGCAGGCUGUCACCUUUUUCUGCACUGUUUAUCCCACCGGCCGACUAUAAUCCCAUCCACAUUAAUGAUCUGCAGACUCUCGGUCAACAGCUAUAUCUUUUUCAUCAUUACCGGUCAAAGAUAGAUAUUUAAUUAUAUAGUGGGUCAGACCAAUAAUUAGGCCCAAGUAUAUCAAGAUCUGAUCAAGAGAAUCCACUGACCCGGUCCAAAUGGCCAAGCCCAAUAAAAAUGACCCAAAAGAUUUAAUUAAAUGAGUGGGCCCGAACUGAUCAUCCCAAUAAAUGAAAUAUCAUGGCCCAACAUUGCCCCCUAAUUUUUUAUUAAACAGGAUGUUUAAUAGGAAACUAUAAACGGUCCAUGAUAUGAGGAAUUUGUUAAGAGUGAAAUAGGCCCAAACUGAAGCAUAUUAAGGCCCAAAUGGUAAAGAGUUAAAAUAAGAGGAUGAACUAAAACCGGAAGCCCAAAUGAAAGGCCCAAUCUGAUAAAUAUCUGAGAUUUAACUCGGACGCUACCCAUUCAGAUUCCUCAUUAUGACUAUCAAUUAAAUUUGCCGUCCUCGUGUGCUGUGUAACCAUCAGUAUAAAAGGCAAUUUUCCCCCAAAUUGACAGUUUUACCUGCUAAUUCAAAUUUCAGACGCCUUCUGACCUUCCUCUCUCUUUCGAGCUUUCUCCUUCUCUACAACUUAGCUACAAUGGCAUCUCAAGAUUCUGAUCAUGAUUCACCUCUUCUCAUGACUCCAAUCACCACCAUUCCGCCUAACCCAAGCCCUAACAAAGAAGCCUCGAGUUCGAACCCCAAAACUGCAAAUCCAAGCAAGAAUCCACCUCCAAAAACCCUUCCUACCCCCUCUGAAUUCUUUAGGAGUGCAGAACACUAUGCUCAUGCUAACACUCCAUCAACCGUUACUAAAAUUGAACUGAAAAGGAUUCGAACCCAAUAUCAUAUUCCGGACACCCACAUGGUAAGAGCCCCUAGAUCCGGCGAGAGAAUGUAUCAAAGGCCAGAAGGUUGGACGGCCGUUCCUGUGACUAUCCUUGAGAAGGGGGUUCGAUUCCCUCUUCAUGUAUUCAUAAUAACCCUCCUAGGCUUUAUUGGCGUUGGGUUUGCCCAAUUGGUACCGAACUCCUACAUCCAUAUUCUGGCCUUCAUCGCAUUCUGUCAUAAAGUUGGAGUAGAGCCCACUCUCGAUUUCUUCUUCACUGUCUACAAGGUCAGCCAAUCCCGAGAAAAAGGGUUUAAGGUUCUGGGUAAACAAUCUCCGAAGGUAGGAGAGAAAUUUGACAGACGCUCGUUGGUCUCCACCCCAUCUAGCAACAAAGGAUGGCACAAAGGGUGGUUCUUCAUUAAGGGACCAGAGAUUACCUCCUUGCCGAACUGGGCCACUGAUGACGUAGUUUCUGCCGACUUUGGUGACAUCCCAGAAGAACGUGUGAGUGAAAUGAUAGAACUAUUCGAGAACUUCCCGUCAAAGGAAUGGAAUUAUAUGCUUCUUACUAAGCAAGCCUGGUUGUAUGAACACAAAUGUAAGUUCUGAAUUAUUUUGUUGUGCAAUUAUUUGAAAUGUGAAGUGAUGCAGAUUCUGACAUAUGACUUUCUGACUUCUUCAGUGUCUUUGAUUAAGCCAACAUCCUCGGAUGUGAAAGACUUGAAAGAUUUUCUGUCUGGAAAAUCUUCGAAAGCUGCAGAAACUCCCCUUAUAGAAGCUGCACCCGAAGACAAUCCAACCCUUGAAACACAUACCGUUGAACCUCAAAUAGACGAGCCAGAAGCCGAUGACCUCAUUCCCCCGGAAAAAUCCCUUCAACCACGCCGGAAAAAGAGAGCUAUUCGAAAACCUAGAUCCAAACCAACACCAAUAGAACCUGAAACCAUCCCAGAAACUGAAACUAUCCCAGAACCUGCACCAACUACCAAUCCAACCUAUGGCCGAGGGAGUUUACUCGAUCUACCCGUAGACGAUCGGAAACGACUCCUUCGAGUCAAAAAAUUAAGAAGCAAAGUCACCCCUUUGAUAACCGAUGAACUUUGAGUGCCUUCAUCUUCAGCUGAUCCAACUCCUGUAGUCCCUGUGGAGAUACAGGUCUCUGAUGAUGAAGAGCAAGUCGAACCUAUUCCAGCAUUGUCCCGAAAGAGAAAACAUCCCUCAGAUAGUCACCCAAAUUCAACGUCUGCUCCAUCACCACCUCAAGAACCUACUCCAAUUCGAUCUCCAUCUCUUGAGAAUGUAUAUAUGGAUCUAUCACCACCUUAUGAUCAACCCAUACCCACUCCCCCAGGACCUUCAUCCUACGAGUUCCAAAAUGAAGCAAUGGCAUCGCCAACUUUAUGGCCCCAAUUUAAUGCCAACUUUCCCUUCUAGCUCUUCAAUUCUUUCGUUCGGGAAACCGACGAUCACCGAUUUGGCAACAGCUCGAUUGGGGAUCUACUUGAUGAAGGCAUGAGCUAUAUAGCGCAGGUAAAGAUCUUCCCCAAUCUUCAUACUCCUUUUCAUGCUUAGGUUAGAUAUCUGAGAUUGAUUAAAUAAUUCUGAACAUAUGCAGGCCAAUGCUAUUUUUGGGCGUUUACGCCCUAAACAUCUUGAAUCUGAAGCUGCAGAAGAAGCAAUCAGAAAAGAGAAUGCAAUAUUGCAGUUUGCCUUGGCGAAGGCAAGACAUGACUAUGAUAUUGCUCUCUUCAACAAUGAAUGCCUUCAAAAGGAUUUAACUCAGACCAAGGAAGAGCUUAAAUCGUCCAAGGAAGAACUGAAGUCAUUCACAGAAGAGCUGAAGACAACUAAGGCCAGCCAACAAGAUCUGACCAAUAUGAACGUUGAUCUUGUUGAAAAGAAUGAGGUUCUGAGGACAAAAAUGAAAAAUUGGCUACAUCCAAUCUGAGUUUGGUCAAACGAGUUGAUGAACUCCAGGAGAAGGCUCGAGAUGAUAAAGAAAGACACUUGGCCAGACGUCGCAAGCUUCAAGAUAAACUGAAGGCAUUAGAGGAGUUAGGCCCUCCUCUGACCGAAGAACUGCGUAAACAAAUCCAAGAAGAAUACCGGAUGUCCGAUGAGCUGAAUGCAGAAGUUCUGAAGGUAUAUUCUGAGGGUUAUGAAGUUUGCAGAGGUCGGGGCAAGGAAAAGUUAAUUACCGCCCAGCUAGACCCAGCCUUGCUUGAUUCUGAAGACGAAGAUAAUGCCUGAACUUGUUGUGGCUUCCUUCUUAUGUUAGGAUUUUUGUAUAAAAAUGUUAUCUUUUUGUGUGAACAGUUAUCAUAUUAAUGAAAUUUCAGCUUCAUUUCUCAUGACUUCUGUUUACUUUGUUUCUUGUCAAUAAUUCAGUGUCAAUCAACUUUGAAAACUGAAUAAGAUGUUUUUGAACUUAACUUAAAUUGUGAAUCAGAUAAGGCAUAUAACAGUUAAGUUAAGAAAUGACAUAAACUGAACUUAAAGAACCGAACUCAACACUUGAACAAAAUAAAAUAAUGCAUACUUAUCAUUUCCGAAGUGUGAGACAGAUUAGGCAUAAGGUGAAUUCGGCUGAUCCUCCUUGCACCAUCGGGAUCUUGUUUACCACUCAAGGUGAAACAAGUAUAUAAGGACAUCUAUUUACCACUCGGGGUAGAACAAAUAUAUAAGGACAGCUGUUUACCACUCGGGGUAGAACAAAUUCAAUAGGACACACCUAACAAUUAGGCUACCAUCGAAUGGUCAGCGAGUCCAAUCGAACCUCCUUACUUCGGUCAUUUGUUUACCACUCGGGGUAAAACAAAUCAUAAAAGGACUAUGGAAUUUGUCUACCACGCAGGGUAUAACAAACCCCUGAGGACACUUAUGCUGAUAAGGCUACCAUCGAAUGGUCAGCGAGUCCACCCCGUCCUCCUUACACUGAUGAAGUUUGCCUACCACGAAGGGCCUGACAAAUUCAUAAGGACCACCUGCCAAAAAGGCUACCAUCGAAUGGUUAGCGAGUCCACCCCGUCCUCCUUACACCAUUGUGAAUUUAGGACCAAUAGGAAGAAGAUCAAUUGUGAAAAAGUGAAUCUUUUAUUGAUGAUGAUCCAACAUUUACAGACUUCUGGGAUACUGACUCGAUCUCUACUGAAAAUACUUCCGAAGUCUACCAGCAUGCCAAGUGUUCUUGAUCUCGGAUCAGUCCAAUGCCCUUAACUGAUAAGUUUCUGGCUUCAGAACUUCAACUACUUUAUACGGUCCUUCCCAGUUUGACAUCAGCUUUCCCAAGUUCUGAGGUGUAGAAGCUUCGACUUCCCUAAGGACAAAAUCUCUCACUUCAAAUCUACGAAGUUUUACCCCCUUAUUGUAAUGUUUAGCCACUCUUCGCUAAUAGGCUAUCAAUCUGAUCAAAGCUGUCUCUCUGACUUCUUCCAAUAGAUCCAUGUUGGCUUUCAGUCCUUCAUCAUUGUAGAUCUCCUUGAACUGACUAACCUGAAGACUUGGAGAUCUAAUCUUAACUUGGACUAAGGCAUUAGUACCAUAGGCCAGUCUGAAAGGUGAAUCCUCUGUAGUGGUCCUCGGAGUAGUCCGAUAAGCCCACAACACGCUAAGAAGCUCUUCAGGCCAUCUCCCCUUAGCUUCAUCCAGUCUGCGCUUGAUCCUGUUCAGCAGCAUUCUGUUAGUCACCUCGACCUGCCCGUUCGACUGUGGAUGAGCCAUUGAAGUCCUUCUGUGCUGAACUCCCAGCUCCUUCAAAAAUCCUUUAAAUUUCGAUCCCACAAACUGGCGUCCGUUGUCCGAUAUCACCACCUUAGGAAUACCAAAACGAAACACUACUGACUCUUUCAUGAACUUUAAACAUUCUUGUUCCGUUAUCAACCUAAGUGGCUUCACUUCUACCCAUUUGGUCAUAUAAUCAAUAGCGACUAUAACAAAACUGACCUGACCCUUAGCUUUCGGCAAUGGAUCCAGUAUAUCUACCCCCCAGACAGUAAAGGGUAUAGGAGAUAAGAUCGAGUAUUGCUCUUCUGGUGGCUGAUGCGGGAUUGGACUAUUGAGUUGACACUUCUCACACUUCUUCAUGUACUCUAUAGCUUCCUUGAAGAUAGUAGGCCAGUAGUACCCCUGUCGGAGUACUUUGUAGGCUAAUGACUUAGUAGCCAUAUGGUCACCACAGAUGCCCUCGUGAACCUCCCGAAAAGCAUAUUCGGCCUCAGAUGGAACCAAACACUUCAACAAUGGUUACGAAAAAGCCCUUCGAUAAAGGUCCCCAUCAAUGAGAACAAAAUUGGUGCUCUUAUACUUGAUCUUCUUGGCCAACAUCUGAUCCAAAGGAAGGACGCCAUCUGCUAGAUACUCUAUGUAUGGAGUCAUCCAACAGUUAGAACAUUCAAUGCACAUCACAACUUCAUGCUGGAUACUCGGCUGCUGCAGAACCUCCAAUUAACCGACCCAUCAAAAUUGUUGGCAUAUAUAGUAGCCAACUUCGAUAAGGCAUCGGCGAUAGAAUUGUCAUUACGCUCGACACCCUGAAAUUCGUAGGAAAGAAAAUACUGAAGCCGAUCUUUCAACUCUGCCAAGUACUGAUCAUCCUUGAACCUCGAGCUUCAUACACCCCUGAAACCUGCUUGACGACCAACUGAGAGUCACUGUAGAUGAUCAACUUUUGAACUUCGAGACUCUUUGCCAGUCGAACUCCUGUCAACACAGCUUCGUACUCUGCCUCGUUGUUCGUUGCUCUAAACCCAAAUAUGAUAGCCUGCUGCACUUUGAAUCCCUCCGGACUUGUCAAGAUAAUUCCUGCUUCACUGGCGUCCGUAGUAGAAGACCCAUCUGCAUACAGCGUCCAUGAACUCUGGUUGUGCUGAAGAAUUGCAACUGCUCGGUCGGACACUUUAGCCUCUGACAACUCUUCAUCAGCUUCAAAAAAUGAACACUCCACCAUAAAAUCAGCCAAGGCUUUCCCCUUUAUAGCUGUUCGGGGAUUAAAUUCGAUGAAAAAUUGGGACAAUUCCAUUGUCCAUGCAGCCAAUCUCCCCAAAACUUCUGGUUCGCUCAUCACCUUCUUCAGCGGUUGAUCCGUGUAAACGACCAGGAGCCGACCUUGAAAAUAUUGCCUAAGCUUUCGACUGGCUAUUAUCAAAGCAAAGGCAAAUUUUUCAAUAUUCGGAUACCUGGUUUCAGCAUCCCUUAGAAAAUGACUAACAUAGUACACUGGAUGCUGCUUCCCCCCAACUUCUCGAACCAGCACUGCUCCCACCGCCAACAAACUAGCUGCCAGAUACAAGUACAGUGGUUCAGCAAAGGUGCCAAAGACAAAUACGUCUUUAUGCCUUGGAAAGCGUCUUCACAUUCUGAAGUCCAUUGGAACGUCUUGGCAUUCUUUUGUCCUUUCAACGUGCUAAAGAACGACAAACACCUCUCUGCCGACUUGGACAUGAACCUCCUCAAAGCUGCAAUCCUCCCUGUCAGACGCUGAAUAUCUUUGAAUGACUGAGGAGUCUUCAUGUUCAGAAUAGCCUGGAUCUUCUCUGGAUUGGCCUCAAUGCCUCUCUGACUGACUAAAUAACCCAAGAAUUUCCCUGCACCGAGUCCAAAGGUGCAUUUGGUGGGAUGAAGCCUUAAUUUGUGAUGAUGAACCGUCUGAAAGCAUUCCUCAAGAUCAUCCAAGUGCUUCUGAAUGAUCAUGCUUUUCACUAUCAUGUCAUCCAUAUAUACCUCCAUAUUCCUUCCUAGUUGCUUUUGAAAUAUAAAGUUUCAUUCUUUGAUAAGUGGCUCCAGCAUUGAUUAAGCCAAAUGUCAUCUUCUUAUAAGCGCACACCGAACGGUGCGUGAUGAAAGUUGUCUUCAGAAUAUCCUCUUUGCACAUAGAAAUUUGAUGAUAACCUGAAAAAACAUCUAUAAAGCUUAGUAGUACAUACCCCGAAGUCGCAUCGAUAAGUUGAUCAAUAUGAGGUAGAGGAUAGAAGUUCUUCGGGCAAGCUUUGUUCAGGUCCGUGUAGUCGAUGCAUACACGCCACUUUCCAUUCUGCUUCUGCACCAACACCACAUUGGCCAUCCACUCCGGGUAAUCUAUUUCAAAGAUGAAGUCAGCAGCUAUCAGUUUUGCAAUCUCUUCAUCAAUGAUUCUCUGACGCUCAGGUGUAAAAAUACGCCUUUUCUGCCGAACUGGCUUCUUUGAAGGAUCUACGUCCAACCGGUGCUCGGCAAUCUUUCGGCUGACUCCCGGCAUGUCCUAAGGCUCCCAUGCAAAAAUAUUCACAUAACAGCGAAGAAGUUCCAUAAGGUUUGUCCGAAGGGGUUCCGGCAGACCCGAACCUAUCUUCACUAUUUUGUCCUUUUUCCCAAGAACCAGCUCGAUCUCAUCCGUCUCUCCUGCAGGCAUAACCAAUGGCUCCGAACUGAUUUCAGUAAAUGGCUCACUUUCUAUUGCCAUGGUCUAUUUUUGCUUGCUGACCCCUACUCCCAAAGCUAUCACAACAUUCCGAUAACAUCGUCUGGCCAGAUCCAAGUCCCCUGCUACCUCUCUGACUCCAUGUGCCAUUGGGAACUUGAUCUUGAAAUGAGGAAUGGAAGUCACUGCUUGUAGGGAUGUCAAAGUAGGUCAUCCCAAUAUGGCAUUGUAGGCCGAAUCUACAUUCACAACAUAGAAUUUACACAUUAUUUCUACCUGUUGUGGAGCAGUACCGAAGAUGACUGGUAGCUCAAUAGUUCCUGCCACUUUAACCAGAUCAUUGCUGAAGCCAUACAAAGGUGCCUCCUGCCCCACCUCCAUCUUUCGCCCAUCAAGAUGCAUCCUCUGAUAAGCAUGGGCAUACAUAAUAUCCACGGAAGACCCGUUGUAUAUCAUCAUCCACUUCAUAUCUACCGAAACCACUUGUGUUGUGAUCACCAGUGCUCCUUCAUGAGGUUUGAUGGGCUUCGAAGGAUAAUCUGCGACGGUAAAAGAUAUAAUUGUCCCUGGAAAUGAUCUAUCAACCUUCGGGAGAACACUCGCCACAGACAUGACCGAAUCCAGAUACCCCCUUCUCUUCUUCCCUACCAACUUGCCUGUCGUCCCACCGGUUAUUACAUCAACGACGUGCCUUGGCGGCUGAUUUGGAGCAGGUUGCACAGGUGGAACCGUUUGAACCGCUUGAACAGUCCGAUCUGCAUUCUGCUGUUCCUGCUGAUGAUCCCUUCCGACCACAUAUUGAACCAACAUACCGCUCUGAACCUUCCUCUCCACAAAGUCCUUCAGAUUACAUCAUUCAUUUAUAUCGUGACCUACAGCUUGAUGAUAGCCACAAAAUUUUCAAGCAUUACCCUGUCCUGGCUUAAAAUUAUCACGAGGUGGUUCAAAGAACGGCUGGUUCCUGAUCUGAUCCAAUAUCACCGACCUAUCCGUGUUCAGUUUGGUGUAAACCUUGUUCACCUUCUGGGUAGGAGCAUGUGGGCAAUUACUUCCCUGUCGCCAUGUGUUGAUGUACUUCUUUGAGCUGCCCUCUGGCCGAUCAUUAUUCCCUCUAACCUUCUUCUGAUUGCCCUCAGCCUUAGAAGUAUCUAUCUCCUUCAUGCGGUCCGAAGAAGGACAUUUCAGGCUAUUCAUAGCCUCCUCCACUACAAUAUAGCCUUCGGCUUUAUCAAAGGCUUCGGCCAAGCUCUUCAGAUGGUGAAACAUCAGCUUCUUCACCAGCUUCUCUGACUUCACCAGAUCUAACUCGUUCUGAAAUAAACCUAUAGCCUGAAGAUCAUUGAGAUCGGAAACCUGGCCAACGGCUUCCCUGAACCGCUUCACAUAUAAACCCAAAGACUCAUUAGAAAACUGCCGAACUUGAGCCAAAGAACCCGUAGGCUUUCCCCCUCAUUUGAUUGCUCCCAAAACGAGCGUGAAACUUGUCACACAGCUCGAACCACGACGAGACUGAAUCAGCGGGCAAAGUCCCCAUCCACUGCCUUGCAUCCUUCCUCAACGUCGUGACAAACGUGUGACACUUGGCAGCAUCAGUGCAAUCAUAAUAGUCCAUCAACCUAUCAAACGCCUGACUAUGGUCGUAAGGAUCCCCUGAUCCAUCAUAACUCUCCAUAUGAGGCAACUUCUUGGUGGUAUCCGCCUUCUCCUUAAGAAUAUCCGAGGAAAAAGGAGACGCCUUCUUUCCCGGAGUGUCUUUCACCUGCUGAACUUCAGCCAACUGUUUCUGAAGCUCCAUCAACUCCUUCACCAAGAAAUCCACACCUUCCAGUUUCGAGGAGACUUCUUUCUCUGGAGAUAUUUUCUUCUUCUGAGUGAACCGACCUCCUCUAUCAGACCCCAUUGCCUUUGAUGGACUUCUGGAUCUACUUCGGCAUGUGGCCAUGUCAUCACGAUGAGAAUAUUCACGCUGGUGCUCUCUCCUUCUAUUCUCAGGUAUAUGCUCUCUUGACCGGCUCCUCUGUCUGCCUCAAUCACGACCUUGAGAAUCAAUAACCAGAAGUGCUUUCUUCGACACCUCAAGGGUUCUGCUCCUUGAUCUCCUUCGCUCCUGAGGUCGUCCUCGAGAGACACGAAUAGAAUGCUCUGACUCCUUUCCGACUCGCUGCUGUACAUCCUUAGACCUACUACGCCUCUCGGAUUGAACAUGACUAGAUGCCUCGUCCCUCAACCCUGCAAUCCGAAGCAUCUGUUCGGCUAUAUCUUCUCGUUGCUUUAGAAGAACAUCGAAAGCUUUAUCCACUUCCUCUACCAUCCUUGCCAACUUGGCAGCUUUGUCAUCUCGACUACUUCGGUGAUGUGUCCUAGGCGGUGAACCUUCCACCCGCUUUCAGCCAUGGUCACGCUCCUUAUCAGCAACAAAGUUCAAUCUUCUUCGGGCUUCACCAUGGGCUCUCGAACGAGAACCCCCUGAAUCAUGCUUGGAAGCCGUACUCUCAUAAGCACUUUUGGAAGGACCCAGAUGAUCCUUAACUGAAACACGAGGCAAGGAUGAACUUACAGCCUCCGGCUGUCCCUCCGGUGUAUUAUCUCUACUUCUCACCAUCUUUCGAAGUAGAACAAAUGGGAACUUGUGAUGAGAUCUCAAGAACACUAGAACACAGCCCUCCUUCUAGCACCAAUGUUAACACCAAGAUCUUCUGCCACGUCCAAAUCACGUAAGACAUCCUGAUCCUGCACAAUAAACACGAUCAACACCAAAAGCUUGACGGCUUCGACCGUCGGGGGAUAGCUCAGGCGUGAGAGUCAGUACAGACAAUCACAAGGUUAACAAUAGAGGAUAAUAAAAUCUAGUAUAUUGAGAGAGAUAAAAUUAUCAGGUACCUUUAUUUGGAUGACUUCCUUGCUAUGAUAUACUCACAAGCCCGUUUUAUCGUGUCACCCACUACCGUCAGACACAAUUUCCCACUGCAGGUGACCUCUGCCGACUGCAUGCAGGUUGCCACCUUUUUCUGAACUGUUUAUCCCACCGGCCGACUAUAAUCUCAUCCACAUUAAUGAUCUGCAGACUCUCGGUCAACAGCUAUAUCUUUUUCAUCAUUACUGGUCAAAGAUAGAUGUUUAAUUAUAUAGUGGGUCGGACCAAUAAUUAGGCCCAAGUAUAUCAAGAUCUGAUCAAGAAAAUCCACUGACCCGGUCCAAAUGGCCAAGCCCAAUAAAAAUGACCCAAAAAAUUUAAUUAAAUGAGUGGGCCCGAACCGAUCGGCCCAAUAAAUGAAAUAUCAUGGCCCAACAACAGAUUUGGUUAAAUUUUCUAACGAAAGUGCCCUGACCAUUGAGUUAUGGGAAUCCCCUUCCUCCAAAAUAAGACUUUCAAAAGAGUUAUUUAACUGUAUAGUUUUGCCUUUGUCCACAAGAAUAAGUAAGGAAUGGUGUUUUAACUGUAUAACUUUGAUAUGCUAAUUAACACUUUAAUUAACAAAGAUAUACACGUUAGAGGAUUCAACUUGAAAUUAAUUGAACCCAAACUAGUUUGCUUCAAAAUUUAUCCCGCAAUCACCCCCAAUUUUUUUUGCUUCAGCCGACGGUGAUAGAGUAUGGAGAGAGAAAACGUGACAGAGGAUUUAAAAUUAACAAAAUGCAUACCCGUGACUCUGUGAGACGAGUCGAUUUGAAAUUUAAUAAACCCAAACACUUUGCUUCAAGGCUUCUUCAUUAGUCACCCCC
rnacentral:lncRNA from 1 species